AUGUCUCCAAAAUGUUGUCACUUGUUGCUAGGCAGAAUCAGCAAAGCACAAAUUGGCUCAUAUAUAUAUAUUUACGACCUCUGCAUUAAACCUAAAAUGUACAGCGACUGUGUUGUCGCGAUCUAAAAAAAAAAAAAUAGAAAAGUGAGUUAAAAACGCAGAGUGAGAACAAUUUAGCUCUAUUUGCUGAUUAAUUUGGGCCCACCUGUGAUGCUGGCUACGCUAAGUAGCUACAUCAGUUUUAAUUAGGGCCCUCACAGAGUGGCUCGCUAGCGAAAAUGAGGGUAUUAAUUAUCACCUUUAGCAGAUAUCACGGUGACAAACGGCGAAGGAGGAGGAAGACACCCUCAAAAAAAGAAAAACACCUCUUUUCGAGCCCACUUCCUGUCUUUGAAACGACCUUGGGGCGACGAGCAUCCUCCAUUUUGUGUCAGUGUAUUUCGGUGGUCCCCACUCGCCCCAAAUGUAUCCUGUUUUAGAAAGUGGGCUCUUUUUCUGUCAUGUUUCUUAUAGCUUGGCAAAUCCAAAGAAAUAACCCCUCACCUGCUGUAUGUAAUUCUCAAGUCGGGGGUUUCAACCCACUUGAACUCAAAUAAAAGCAUCGAAACCUUUAUUAGUAACGACAUUUGCCGCACGACACCACCUUUAAAUUUAUUUUAUUUUUUCCCCCUCGUAUACUCGAGGGAGGCAUUCAUUUGUCCGCAUCGACAGUUGAAAAUCGUCUGGCGAAAGAGUCGCCCGCGGAGCACCUUGCCCGUGUCAACGUUGUCUCCCGGAAAAGCGUCACAUUCAUCAUCAUCAUCAGCCCGUCAUUAGACGACGUCACCCUAUUACCCAAAUCACAUUAUCGCACUUCUAUUCAUUAAACUCAAAGCCACUCGGAGCCAGCGACGGGUCCCGUCGGUGCCAAAGGGCGGCGCACUCCAGCAUUCCACUUCAGCACUUCGCCGCUUCACAUUUGCAUACCAGAGAAUGGGCCACAAUAUUAGGUACACCGUCGUCAUAAAAAAAGCGCCGGAACUCCCAACUGGGUGUGACAGGAAAAAACAACAACAACAACCACAAUGUCGGCAGCAGCCUGUUACGAUGAGAGAGGCCUCCAAAGAAAAGCCCUGAGGGCUGUAGGGAGGCCUGUGAAUAACCUGUCAGCACCUUCCUUCAAUGUGCAAAGCGUUUUGUGUGGGGCGCCACCUGAGCAAAGCAGGCGGCUCAUCGGGAGGCGGGGGUGGGGGGGUGUCAAGCCCACUUCCCUCGCUGGAGCACGAGUGCAAAGGAAAUGGGCCUUAACAUUGCACACGAGGCUGACUAGGGAGCUCCAUUAAGCCAAGCGUUCACUCUCGAUGGAUAUGGAUGUCCGUUAUGACACACUGGAGCAUCCAUUCAAAUCCGACUCCUCGUAACGAUGACAUCACGGAGGCCACGAAGAAGAAUGUUUGACAAAGGUGCCACGGUGACACCUCAAUAGCCGCAAAGACCUUGAGUGCAACUGAACGCAUCGCGGGGAGUGAAGAAGGGCCUCCAACUGUCCACUUUUUCAUCAGAAUGCACUUUUAUAUAGACAUUGCAAAAUAUAAUAGAUGACAUGUUAAAUAUCGUGAUGUAUCAAAUUAUUUCAUGAUAUCAUAUGUACUGCAUAUGGUAUCGUGAUAUAUCAUAGACAUCCCAAGGUAAUGGAGUUGGUAUCGUAUUGAUGUCAUUGAUAUCUUGAUGCAUCGCGAAAAAAGGGCCCGUGAUGAUACUGUAGACACUGCUUUUUCGAUGUAUCAUAAUAGCCGGAAUCUAAAAUCCAUCAGUUGUAUUCCCGAUGGAAUGGUGACAUCAUCGACAGCAGGCCGUAUCACAGAUUUCAUGUACGUAUCAUGGAAGGUAUCGCGAUGUAUCGUAUAUUGUGUUGUCGCAAUGUCAUCGUGUCGUCAAAAUGUAGAUUGCAUUGUCGGAUGGGAUGUAUCGCAAGCGAUAUCGUGAUACAGACAUGUAUAUAUCAGCAAUGUAUCAUACAUACUGCCUCCAGUGAUUUGAUAAUUAGGGGCACCUGUGCACAGAGUAAGGACUUGAUGGGGGGCGGGGGGAAAUGGAUCGAAGAUCAGCCUCAGUAUUGCGUCACAUAACGAUGAUCGAGACGAAAACUCGGGAAGGAGACUGGAGUGCAACAUGGAUCAUUUGUGAGUACUUCCAAAUUACUAAUUUGUUAAGUUUGUUUUUCCUGAUUUGUUGGCUGUGUUUUUCUUGGCUGCACUGGAUUGCUUUUGGCAUGUUUUAAACAAAUAAUUGACUUGGUCUUAGUUCUGUGAUGUGGGACUGUUUAUAUAAUUAAUAAAAAGAAAAAAAACCCUACAACUUUGACUAGCGAAAAUGACAACAAUUGCUUUAAUGAGGUAAAGACAUCGAGUCGUCUGUGUGCUAGGCGGCCCGUGAAUGCUCGUUGUUGCAUUGAGGCAUUGUUUUCCCAAUCACUGUGAUGAGCGUGAGAGAUUUGACAGCUCAGAGAGCAAGAUUGUGUCCUCCCUUUCUGAAGCGUUCUCACCAUGACCGAGACCUGGAGAUACACAAUGUUAUUUAUUU